GACGAACGCUGGCGGCGUGCUUAACACAUGCAAGUCGAACGGAAAGGCCCUGCUUUUGUGGGGUGCUCGAGUGGCGAACGGGUGAGUAACACGUGAGUAACCUGCCCUUGACUUUGGGAUAACUUCAGGAAACUGGGGCUAAUACCGGAUAGGAGCUCCUGCUGCAUGGUGGGGGUUGGAAAGUUUCGGCGGUUGGGGAUGGACUCGCGGCUUAUCAGCUUGUUGGUGGGGUAGUGGCUUACCAAGGCUUCGACGGGUAGCCGGCCUGAGAGGGUGACCGGCCACAUUGGGACUGAGAUACGGCCCAGACUCCUACGGGCGGCAGCAGUGGGGAAUAUUGCACAAUGGGCGGAGGCCUGAUGCAGCAACGCCGCGUGCGGGAUGACGGCCUUCGGGUUGUAAACCGCUUUCGCCUGUGACGAAGCGUGAGUGACGGUAAUGGGUAAAGAAGCACCGGCUAACUACGUG
rnacentral:rRNA from 1 species